rnacentral:rRNA from 1 species
CGCUGGCGGCAGGCUUAACACAUGCAAGUCGAGCGCCCCGCAAGGGGGAGCGGCAGACGGGUGAGUAACGCGUGGGAGCAUACCCUUUGGUUCGGAAUAACUCAGGGAAACUUGAGCUAAUACCGGAUACGUCCGUAAGGAGAAAGAUUUAUCGCCAAAGGAUUGGCCCGCGUCCGAUUAGCUAGUUGGUGAGGUAACGGCUCACCAAGGCUACGAUCGGUAGCUGGUCUGAGAGGAUGAUCAGCCACAUUGGGACUGAGACACGGCCCAAACUCCUACGGGAGGCAGCAGUGGGGAAUAUUGGACAAUGGGCGCAAGCCUGAUCCAGCCAUGCCGCGUGAGUGAUGAAGGCCUUAGGGUUGUAAAGCUCUUUUGUCCGGGAAGAUAAUGACUGUACCGGAAGAAUAAGCCCCGGCUAACUUCGUG